rnacentral:rRNA from 1 species
UACAGAGGGUGCGAGCGUUAAUCGGAAUUACUGGGCGUAAAGCGCACGUAGGCGGCUUGGUAUGUCGGGUGUGAAAUCCCCGGGCUCAACCUGGGAAUUGCAUUCGAGACUGAAUAGCUAGGGUACGGUAGAGGGAAGCGGAAUUUCCGGUGUAGCGGUGAAAUGCGUAGAUAUCGGAAGGAACAUCAGUGGCGAAAGCGGCUUCCUGGACCAGUACCGACGUUCAGGCACGAAAGCGUGGGGAGCAAACAGG